GACGAACGCUGGCGGCGUGCUUAACACAUGCAAGUCGAACGGAAAGGCCCUGCUUUUGUGGGGUGCUCGAGUGGCGAACGGGUGAGUAACACGUGAGUAACCUGCCCUUGACUUUGGGAUAACUUCAGGAAACUGGGGCUAAUACCGGAUAGGAGCUCCUGCUGCAUGGUGGGGGUUGGAAAGUUUCGGCGGUUGGGGAUGGACUCGCGGCUUAUCAGCUUGUUGGUGGGGUAGUGGCUUACCAAGGCUUUGACGGGUAGCCGGCCUGAGAGGGUGACCGGCCACAUUGGGACUGGGAUACGGCCCAGAACCCUACGGGAGGCAGGAGGGGGGAAUAUUGAAAAAUGGGGGGAAGCGUGAUGCAGCAACGCCGGGUGGGGGAUGACGGCCUUGGGGUUGUAAACCGCUUUCGCCUGGGACGAAGGGGGGGUGACGGUAAUGGGGAAAGAAGCACCGGCGAACUACGG
rnacentral:rRNA from 1 species